rnacentral:misc_RNA from 1 species
GGUAAGAGCACAUGGCAUCUGCAGUCAAAAAGUUGUAACACAACAUAGACAAGAGAUGCCGAACAUGUUCGAAGCCACAAAUGAAGCAGGAGUGUCCCAAAACUAACUGCCAUGACAUCCGAGGAGCCGAUAGAUGUUGUCGCCAAAAAAGACGCCAAAAAAACCGAUGAGUGCGCCAACUUCGAAAUACCAGAAAACAAAAAAGACAAAAGCGUAGUCGAUCCAAAGCAGAAACGCUCACAAGAACUCAUGAGGCUGGUCUACGAACUACCUGAUGACAUUAAAAACCCAGAAAUAAUAGAAAACAACAAUAUGUUGAAGGAAAACCCACCAAUCACGAUAGUGGAGAUCACAGAACAGAAUGGUUGUGCCGAGUUAAAUGCUACUCAAUGUGAUAACGAUUAUUUUAACGUAGACGGCAGUCCAAAGGACUUAGGCAAUAAGGUGGUAUACGAUGUGCUAGCUACUAAUGAACUGAUUAUGCACUGUGCUGAAGAAUUCAAAGAAGUAAUUGACAGAUCAUCACCUGACGAUUGUACCGAUGAAGACCUAUUAGAAUUGAAGAAGUUAUUAGAAGGGAAGCCGAAGGUGUUGGAUAGGUAUAUUCGGGAGUGUGCCACGACGGAUGAGGUGACAAGGCUUCAUAGUUUGACAUCUUCGGGACCGCUGUCUCCGAGGCCACAUCAUGAGGCCAGGAGUACAUCGGUGACAUCAGACUUAUUCCAGCUAUGGCUGUCUUCAUCUCCAGUGAAGAGGUCGAGAUCUCCGAGCUGCUCAGCACAGAAGCAGCUGGAUGAGGCGGACCUGUUCAUGGACCUCAUCAAGGACGUCGCCAACGAACUCGACAUUGAUGUGCUUUGUCACAAGAUCCUGGUAAACGUGUGCCUGCUGACUUCAGCGGACCGAGGCAGCUUGUUCCUGGCGAAGGGAGUACCCCCCAACCGAUACCUGCAGGCGAAACUCUUCGAUGUCACCAGGGACACAGAACUAAACGACGCCCUCCGGACGGCGCGCUCGCAGGAGAUCAAGAUCUCCUUCGGCGUGGGAGUGGCAGGGCUGGCUGCGCAGACCAAACAUCCCAUCAACAUCAAGAACGCUUAUGCAGACCCUAGGUUCAACAGCGAGAUCGACGCUCGCACGGGCUACAAGACUGAGCUGAUCCUCUGCAUGCCCAUCUGCAACUACGAGGGCGACGUCGUCGGCGUCGCGCAGAUUAUCAACAAGACUGAUGGAUCCAAAGAAUUCUCCCCCCGAGACGUGGAAGUAUUCCGGCGGUACCUCACUUUCUGCGGCAUCGGCAUCCAAAACGCACAGCUAUUCGAGUCCUCAGUCCUCGAGUACAAGAGGAACCAGAUCCUGCUGGCGCUGGCCAGGAGUAUAUUUGAGGAGCAGAGCAACCUAGAGUGCUUGGUCACCAAGAUCAUGAAGGAGGCACGAGAGUUGCUCAAGUGCGAGAAGUGUGCUGUUUUUAUAUCUGAUACGGAUCAUUGUGAAUCGAGCCACUUAGAGCGCAUAGUCCAACGGCCGGGCGGUCAGAAGUCGUCCCUCCCGGCACUGCCACCCCCAGCGCCGACGCGCUUCCACACGCUGUUCGAGCUGGGCGCGCAGCAGUCGCGCACCACGCUGACGCACCGCCACGACUGCCGCUCUACCCUCGCCAGCAUCGCGCUAGCGGUAGCCCAAUCAAACAAAGCGCUGAACAUAUCGGACGUGUCGGAGUGGCGGCGCGAGAACAACAUGGUGGUGCGCGACGUGACGCUGGACGACGCCGCCAACGUGCGCACCAUGCUCUGCAUGCCCAUCGUUAACGCUAACAAAGACGUUAUUGGCGUCGCACAGCUUAUCAACAAGGAGAACGGGUGUCAGUUCACGGACGGCGAUAUCUCGAUAUUCGAAGCAUUCGCCAUUUUCUGCGGUCUGGGUAUACACAACACGCAGAUGUAUGAAAAUGCUUGCAAACUUAUGGCUAAACAGAAGGUGGCGCUGGAGUGCCUGUCGUACCACGCGACAGCCUCCACGGAGGACACGAGCAAGCUGUGCAGCGACAACAUCCCCUCCGCUGAGAUAUACAACCUGUACAGCUUUCAGUUUCACGACUUCGAUCUAUCAGACGAGGACACGUGCAGGGCGACACUGCGCAUGUUCCUACAAUGUAACCUAGUUGAGAAGUUCCACAUUCCUUAUGACGUCCUCUGCCGCUGGAUAUUAAGCGUCAAAAAAAACUACCGCCCAGUCAAAUACCACAACUGGAGACAUGCACUCAACGUCGCUCAAACCAUGUUCGCUAUGCUGAAAACUGGAAAAAUGGAGCGGUUCAUGUCUGACCUGGAAAUCCUUGGCUUACUUGUAGCCUGUCUAUGCCAUGACCUGGACCAUAGGGGGACAAACAACGCGUUUCAGACGAAAACUGAAAGUCCUCUAGCGAUAUUGUACUCAACUUCUACGAUGGAACAUCAUCAUUUCGAUCAGUGUGUCAUGAUUCUUAAUAGUGAGAGCAAUAAUAUUUUUCAGGCGUUAUCCCCGUGCGACUACAAGGACGUGAUGCGCGUGGUGGAGACGGCGAUCCUGUCCACCGACCUCGCCAUGUACUUCAAGAAGCGAGCCAAGUUCCACGAGCUCGUCGAGAACGGCGAGUUCGACUGGCAGAGCCAGGAGAAGAAAGAAUUGCUAUGUGGCAUGAUGAUGACGGCAUGCGACGUGUCAGCGAUUGCCAAGCCUUGGGAAGUACAACACAAGGUGGCCAAACUGGUGGCCGACGAGUUCUUCGACCAGGGAGACCUGGAGAAACUGCAGCUUAACCAGCAGCCUAUCGCUAUGAUGGACAGGGAAAAGAAAGACGAACUCCCACAAAUGCAAGUGGGCUUCAUCGACAUGAUCUGCCUUCCACUAUACAAGGUCCUGGCCGACACAUUCCCCUGGAUCCAGCCGCUGUACGCCGGCACCCUGGACAACCGCCAGCGCUGGCAGGACCUCGCGGAGAAGGUGGAGAUGGGCCUCACGUGGAUAGACCACGAUACUAUUGAUAAGCCGAUUGAGGAGUUUACUGCAUUAAACGAGCCAAUUAAAGACGUGGAGCUAACAGUCCAGACCCUGAACUGCACGAAGCCGAUUCCCGAGAGCAGCAGCAGCAUGGCGCUGGUCAAGCCGCUGAAGACUUCCUUCCACUCCCUCAGGAGAGGGAAGAGCAGCAACUUCACCAACCGCCCCGCCAGGAGUAAACUUACUAGCAUGUUCCAGAUCAAUGUACGCGGCGGCAAGCAGCCGGGAGCCCGAGGCGCCGACACGCCGGCCUCCACCGCCCAGUCACACGCAGCCGCACACGCCGCUGCUGACGGACGAGCCUAAAGCCAAGCACAAGGCGCGGCUGUGCCAGUUGUUGUGACGGUUGAGCUUUAACUGGGGCAGCCAGAAUAGUACAGAGAAACCUGAGAAACUGGACAGAGUGAAGCCGUCCAAAUCGAUUGAUUAGACACAGUGGGGUAACAUUACUGUCAUGUCGCUUUGUAGAAUAUAUUAACCAUAUUAACAAACUUUUGCGAAAACGAAAUGUCGAUGAUUAAAGUUUUCCAAAGAAAUGUGAAGUAAGUAAUAAACAUGAGAAAACAAGCGGGUGAAAUAAAAUUCUUUACAGCCCUUUCACACUAGACAAUUUUUCGCUCGAAUUUCUGAUAUUUUGUCGCUCGGAAUGUGUCGUGCGUAAAAAAAUCGAACGGAAAAUCGGCAAGUUUGAAAGCGCUGUUAAAAGUGAAAUAAAAUUAUCGAUAAAAGAUGGUCGAUGUAUAAAUUCUACAAAGUGACGUAACAGGAUAGGGUUGUACUCUCUACUUGGACUCGGUUGAGUCAACGUCGUUUUACUAAUAGUGGUUACCGUUGUACAUUUCUAUUGUUAGAUACAUCGUACUAAGUAGAUUACAUGGAACUUGUCUGCAGUUUGGCUGAACAUAAUUAUUAAGAUACAGAAAAAAACAGGAGUAUAAUAUGAAAAAAGCAAACGAAUUGUCCAUAAAAUAAGUAUGUUCAGCCAAACAAAAAAUUUUAGAGAACAAAAAAAAACUAAAAGUAAUUUUUAGUAUUUUAAUCUCUGCGUCUUUUUGACGAUAACAAUGUUUCCUGUAAAGCAAACUCUAGGUAAAUGUUUAUCUAAUUAAAUGUAUUAUUUACAUAGACUGUGAUCUAGUAUUACUUCGCGAUGUUCUAUUUUAAAAAUAACAGGUUUUAUAGAUUACUUUCUUUUGCAAUUAAGAAUCCUUGGGUAAUUUUAGUAUGCAAUAUUAAGAAUUGUGUUGUACUUUUACUAGAUUAUUUUAUGUUAUGUCUUGUAUAGUUCUCGCCAAACUAUUUGUCGAUGGUGCAUUGCGCAAGACGCUGCACAGAAACCAUUUUUAAGUAAAAGCUGGUUGGGGUUACGCUCGGAAUUUAGCUGCAAGCCGCCAUUAUGUUUGGCGAGAACUAUAGAAGACUGUAAUACAAGAUUGUAUUUCCUAAAACUAGUCCUUUUGACCGAGUUGCUUCCUUCGCUUAGAUUAUGUAAUUCUUCCGUACUAUAGGUACAAUAAAACAGCUAUUUAUAAUAUUUUUCUAUCGUAUUAUUAAGAUCUAUCGACUGUUUAAAUUUUAAAAUAGAAUGAUCGUUUCUUGGCCUGUGAAAAAAUGUGUACUAUGUAACUACUAAGUGUGUAAGGUUUUCGUAUUUAUGCAUUAUGAAAGUUCAAUUAAAUUAUUUUUUUAUUUAUCGGAGCUAAAGUAUUAUGAUGCUAGUCGUGUGUUAUGUUAUGUAGAUAUUUAUAAAUGUUACUGUCGAACGAACAGUCACGUCCAAUUCGCUUAUGAAGCUUAUUUUGUGCAAUAUCGAACGAUUCGAUCCAGUCUUAAUCGUAAUUGAGAUUAUUUUUAUUACCAGUACUUUUAAGUCAGCAAUAUUUUUAAUAUUUAAUGAUUUUGGAACAAGAAUCAAUUCUUGAUGUGGUUCGUAAGAACUUUAAUGUCCAAAUUAUUUAAUACUUUGUUUGCACGUUCUAUGCAAUUGCAGCAAUGUAUUGUGAAAAUCGUGGAAACAAGAUUUUAAAUCUUUUUGGAUUAACAGUUUUAGUAUAAAAAAAAUAUUGUGACUAAACUUCAUACUUUGUAUUUUACCAAUGAAGUAGUCCGCAUAUUUUAACGAAUAUGAUUUUGACUAUAAUGUUAAAAAAAAUAAACAAAAGUAGAGAUUUUCUUUAAAAUGUCUUGUAUAGACUUUUUAUAGGAAGGAAAAGAAUAAGAAAGCCUUUAAUACAAUAUAUCGAUGUCAAAUAUUGUGCAAUUUUUACUGUUGUUAUAAUAGUUUAGAUAUCUGCUUUAACAUUGGCAAAAUUAAAGUAAGUCCUUACGAGUCAGUACCUAGCAAAAGUCACUUUUUCAAAAAUUUAGUGAUCAUGUAUUUUGUAAUUUGAAUUGUGUUUCUGGGCUCUCGUUUCUGACAGUACAUAAAAUAUUCGUUCAUAUUUUAUUAUGUUUAACCCGUUUCGUUGAUAACUAUGACAGAUUCUUUGAAUCUUUCAGCAUUAGGUAUUAAUUAAUAUACAAGGUAAAUAUUGUACAAGAAAAGUUUGUAAUUUCGGAACUUAUUUUAAUUUUGCAAAUGUGAAGUCACAUAGUCCAGAUGUUGUGAAAUAGACUAUACUUAAUAUAAUUAAUAGUAUUACGACUGUUCUUUACUAACUUGAUAUGAAACAUUUCUUUUAUUUUCAAUAGACAUUUUUUGAACUCCGUUUAGAAUUUAUGAAGUAGUUAAUCAUGUAAAACAAUUAAAUUGUUUCUUCAAUUUUUUCCAAAGAUGGGUAAUAUGCCUGACAGGUUUUGUACAAAAGUUACCUACGUAAUAACAAAUUAUUAUUUAAAUUAAAUUAAUUACUUUGGUCAUUUGAGAGUUUAUAUUAAAUGUUUUAUUUUUAAUAGAUUUAUUUGCUCAGUAUUAUUUGUUCAAGAAUGUGAGAUCAUAUUUAUUUAUGUAUUUAUUGAUAAAUUCAACUAAUUAUAACAUAAGAAAAGCAUUGAUUUUACAUUAAGUACAUAAUUUUAUUUGUUGAGUAAAGCAUUUUGUAUGACAUGCAAAAUGUUUUAAAAUUUGAUUGUUUCCAAAAAAAUGGUAAUUUGUCCGCGUUUUCUUAAUGUUGAUAGUUUUUAUGUUUUCUAUUAAAUGACAAUAUUCUACUACAUUACUCAGAACAAUAAAUAUUUCUUCGUUAUGAUUCGAUCAAUUUGUAAAAAUACCUACUGAAUGUGUUUCGACGAAUAAAAAUAUUGUGAACAAUA